rnacentral:tRNA from 2 species
GUCGGGAUAGCUCANCCGGU